rnacentral:lncRNA from 12 species
UCUUGAUCUUCACAGUGGGACCUUCUCUAGUAACUCCAUUGUUCCUGCUCCUUCUUUAUCUUUGCCACCCUCACCCUGAAGUAAGGGGACCUAAAGGUUUGUCACAGCCACCCUCACUACGACAAG